ACUCCUACGGGAGGCAUCGGUAGGGAAUAUUGGGCAAUGGGCGCAAGCCUGACCCAGCGACGCCGCGUGAGGGAUGAAGGUCUUCGGAUUGUAAACCUCUUUCAGUAGGGAAGAAGCGAAAGUGACGGUACCUAAAGAAGAAGCACCGGCUAACUAUGUGCCAGCAGCCGCGGUAAUAC
rnacentral:rRNA from 1 species